rnacentral:rRNA from 1 species
GAACUGAAGAGUUUGAUCAUGGCUCAGAUUGAACGCUGGCGGCAGGCCUAACACAUGCAAGUCGAGCGGUAGAGAGAAGCUUGCUUCUCUUGAGAGCGGCGGACGGGUGAGUAAUGCCUAGGAAUCUGCCUGGUAGUGGGGGAUAACGUUCGGAAACGGACGCUAAUACCGCAUACGUCCUACGGGAGAAAGCAGGGGACCUUCGGGCCUUGCGCUAUCAGAUGAGCCUAGGUCGGAUUAGCUAGUUGGUGAGGUAAUGGCUCACCAAGGCGACGAUCCGUAACUGGUCUGAGAGGAUGAUCAGUCACACUGGAACUGAGACACGGUCCAGACUCCUACGGGAGGCAGCAGUGGGGAAUAUUGGACAAUGGGCGAAAGCCUGAUCCAGCCAUGCCGCGUGUGUGAAGAAGGUCUUCGGAUUGUAAAGCACUUUAAGUUGGGAGGAAGGGUUGUAGAUUAAUACUCUGCAAUUUUGACGUUACCGACAGAAUAAGCACCGGCUAACUCUGUGCCAGCAGCCGCGGUAAUACAGAGGGUGCAAGCGUUAAUCGGAAUUACUGGGCGUAAAGCGCGCGUAGGUGGUUUGUUAAGUUGGAUGUGAAAUCCCCGGGCUCAACCUGGGAACUGCAUUCAAAACUGACUGACUAGAGUAUGGUAGAGGGUGGUGGAAUUUCCUGUGUAGCGGUGAAAUGCGUAGAUAUAGGAAGGAACACCAGUGGCGAAGGCGACCACCUGGACUAAUACUGACACUGAGGUACGAAAGCGUGGGGAGCGAACAGGAUUAGAUACCCUGGUAGUCCACGCCGUAAACGAUGUCAACUAGCCGUUGGAAGCCUUGAGCUUUUAGUGGCGCAGCUAACGCAUUAAGUUGACCGCCUGGGGAGUACGGCCGCAAGGUUAAAACUCAAAUGAAUUGACGGGGGCCCGCACAAGCGGUGGAGCAUGUGGUUUAAUUCGAAGCAACGCGAAGAACCUUACCAGGCCUUGACAUCCAAUGAACUUUCUAGAGAUAGAUUGGUGCCUUCGGGAACAUUGAGACAGGUGCUGCAUGGCUGUCGUCAGCUCGUGUCGUGAGAUGUUGGGUUAAGUCCCGUAACGAGCGCAACCCUUGUCCUUAGUUACCAGCACGUUAUGGUGGGCACUCUAAGGAGACUGCCGGUGACAAACCGGAGGAAGGUGGGGAUGACGUCAAGUCAUCAUGGCCCUUACGGCCUGGGCUACACACGUGCUACAAUGGUCGGUACAGAGGGUUGCCAAGCCGCGAGGUGGAGCUAAUCCCAUAAAACCGAUCGUAGUCCGGAUCGCAGUCUGCAACUCGACUGCGUGAAGUCGGAAUCGCUAGUAAUCGCGAAUCAGAAUGUCGCGGUGAAUACGUUCCCGGGCCUUGUACACACCGCCCGUCACACCAUGGGAGUGGGUUGCACCAGAAGUAGCUAGUCUAACCUUCGGGAGGACGGUUACCACGGUGUGAUUCAUGACUGGGGUGAAGUCGUAACAAGGUAGCCGUAGGGGAACCUGCGGCUGGAUCACCUCCUUAAUCGACGACA